rnacentral:tRNA from 1 species
UAAUUAGUAAAUAGAAAUCUGCAAAAUUUUUACAUAGUUUAUUAACUCUAAUUAU